rnacentral:misc_RNA from 1 species
AGCCAGAGAGCUUCUUUACCU